rnacentral:rRNA from 1 species
GUUGAACGCUGGCGGCAGGCCUAACACAUGCAAGUCGAAUGGUAACAGGAAACAGCUUGCUGUUUCGCUGACGAGUGGCGGACGGGUGAGUAAUGUCUGGGAAACUGCCUGAUGGAGGGGGAUAACUACUGGAAACGGUAGCUAAUACCGCAUAACGUCGCAAGACCAAAGAGGGGGACCUUCGUGCCUCUUGCCAUCAGAUGUGCCCAGAUGGGAUUAGCUAGUAGGUGGGGUAACGGCUCACCUAGGCGACGAUCCCUAGCUGGUCUGAGAGGAUGACCAGCCACACUGGAACUGAGACACGGUCCAUACUCCUACGGGAGGCAGCAGUGGGGAAUAUUGCACAAUGGGCGCAAGCCUGAUGCAGCCAUGCCGCGUGUAUGAAGAAGGCCUUCGGGUUGUAAAGUACUUUCAGCGGGGAGGAAGGGAGUAAAGUUAAUACCUUUGCUCAUUGACGUUACCCGCAGAAGAAGCACCGGCUAACUCCGUG